ensembl:lncRNA
CCCUCCGCCUCCAAACCCAGGAAACUGAUUUCCAUGUUAUUUUUCCUCGUCACCCCUCCCCUUCCUUCCUCACUCACAGCUGAGGGCUUUGUUACCUACUUUACCCAGAAGGUGAAGGACUUCAUCUCCUCUUUUACCCCUGCCACCAUCCUCCCUCCCCAUAUCCCUACAUGUUUUACCCACCUUGUCCCUCUCACCUCCGAAGAUGUCAACAGAGUAGUUUUGUCUGACCACGCCACCGCUGGACCCGAUCCCCUCCUCACUCCUCCAGGCUCCUGUGGCUGCUGAUGGUCAACAGAUGUGGUUAAUCAGUAAUCAAUGGAACUGGAGUGAACAAUCCUUUAAAAGAACCACCGUUACUUCUGAGAGGUAUUUAGUUUACAGGGCCUGGCAAUUGGUUUGUAGAGCAAAACCCAGCAACACCUGAAAAAAAACGACAUGCAUGUUCCUUGUUCAAUCUCUUUGAGGUCAACCUGGAUAUUGUGUCUGAUUGGGUGUAUAUUAUCGCUACCAGUAGAUAAAGGUUUUGGCUCAAACAAUCCUUCACCAGCAUGGAGUGACUUCAGCAGUCCUCGCUCUACUUAUCCUGUUGGUCAAGCCGGCUCGGUGUAUACUUAUGGCAGCACAACGCAAGAGUACAUUGGAAGAGCGGCUUCCACUUGGUCCCAGCAGAACAGUGACUCAAAGGCUGAUGACGGGGUCUACUCAAAUGAUGGCUCCAAUAUGGAUGCUGGCGACUCUGGCUGGGCCAAGAGCGGUGCGAUGGACUCUGGUAGUGAUGCUCAGUACCCUGUUCCUGAAGGCUACCCUGAGGAGCUUGUCGCCCCCAUGGACCAGGAGCUGGAGGAACCUGAGGAAGAGCCCGUGUUGAGCGACGUCUCUGACCUGGAGCCGGUCUACCACUUCAGUUCCGGGUCACGCUACCAGCAAGGCAGACAGGCCUUCUUCCUAACCAGAUACAACCCCGGAGAGCCUAUGGUCGCCUCUGCUGACGCGUUGGUCUCUAACAGUUAUGGAAUGGGAAAUGGUGAGGGAGGGCCAGCUGAUCCAAGACAGCCUGGGAAGGGUGACUACUGAUCAACUGCAAUGUCUUUCAUUUCUAAUGGCUGUAUAUGAAUAAAUCUUUGCUUUCGGAAUUAGUUUCCUUUGCUUUAAUACAGGUUGCCAAGUUUAGCAUUGCUAAGAUGUGCAUGAAGCACUGUGCUUUGGUGUCCAUUGAACAAACAUUAUCCUGGAUCCAACUCCUUGGGUAUUGCAAGUACCCAAGGAGAACCAACUUGACCUUAUAUUCACGAGGUCCUGCGGUAACUCUGCUCUCUCUGUAACCCCGUUCCCUGUGUCUGACCAUAAUUUUAACUGCUCUCUCCUCUAAAUCCUCUUCCUCCUUGGCUGUACAAAUCUCUGCAGGCUUAAACGCAACAAUAACAAUAGGUAUCCAUAAUCCAAUUACAUCCUGUGAACCUAAUUAAGAGGCAAGUUUGGAUGCUUGAACCCACACAGAACUAGAGACUCUUUGUUUAAAUGGAUUACCGCUAGGUGGCAGUAUAGAUCAAAUAAUUCCGGCCGCUGGUGCUCACUAUUGUUGUUGACGGAUUUCCCCUGUAAAGUGAGGAAACGAGUGCUCUGGG